AUGGAGAGUCUUCUUCAUUGGGAAUUUGCUCCGGGGCUUGCCCUUGCGGAUCAGGUGAGGAGAAAAUUUGGUUCCACGGUGCACUUCUCUCCUUCUCGUGAUCAUAAGGAGUUCUUCCUUGUGGUCACCUUCUCUUUGGCCUCCUUUCCUCUCAAUGUGGAUUAUGUGGGUAUUGCUUUAGAAUGCUGCAUUGGA
rnacentral:rRNA from 1 species